CACGUAGGGCGCAAGCGUUGUCCGGAAUUAUUGGGCGUAAAGGGCUCGUAGGCGGUUUGUCGCGUCGGGAGUGAAAUCAUCUGGCUUAACUGGGUGCUUGCUUUCGAUACGGGCAGACUAGAGGUAUGCAGGGGAGAACGGAAUUCCUGGUGUAGCGGUGAAAUGCGCAGAUAUCAGGAGGAACACCGGUGGCGAAGGCGGUUCUCUGGGCAUGAUCUGACGCUGAGGAGCGAAAGUGUGGGGAGCGAACAGG
rnacentral:rRNA from 1 species